AAAGGCUCCAUUGAAUUUGAAUGAGAUAUAGGGACAUCGGGAAUCAUCUGAGCUUCUGCUAAUGAGUGCAUACUCGGCGCUUUUUCCAAAUUGAAUGCAUGACAUAUAGUAGCUGUUAAUGGUCCUUGAUGAACGGUCCAAAUUAAGCGAUCGGUACUGGCUUCAAGGAUUUCGGAAUGAGAAGAGACCAGGGCUAAAAGAGUACUUGAGAUGAACUUAAAAUUGGGAGUUUUGGGGAUCGGCGAAGUUUCGGAGGGAGGAAGAUAUUGGGAUAUCGUUUCAGUAUAGUGUGAU